GGGUUGUGAGGUUAAGCGACUAAGCGUACACGGUGGAUGCCCUGGCAGUCAGAGGCGAUGAAGGACGUGCUAAUCUGCGAUAAGCGCCGGUAAGGUGAUAUGAACCGUUAUAACCGGCGAUUUCCGAAUGGGGAAACCCAGUGUGACUCGUCACACUAUCAUUAACUGAAUCCAUAGGUUAAUGAGGCGAACCGGGGGAACUGAAACAUCUAAGUACCCCGAGGAAAAGAAAUCAACCGAGAUUCCCCCAGUAGCGGCGAGCGAACGGGGAGGAGCCCAGAGUCUGAAUCAGCAUGUGUGUUAGUGGAAGCGUCUGGAAAGGCGCGCGAUACAGGGUGACAGCCCCGUACACAAAAGCGCAUAUGCUGUGAGCUCGAUGAGUAGGGCGGGACACGUGGUAUCCUGUCUGAAUAUGGGGGGACCAUCCUCCAAGGCUAAAUACUCCUGACUGACCGAUAGUGAACCAGUACCGUGAGGGAAAGGCGAAAAGAACCCCGGCGAGGGGAGUGAAAAAGAACCUGAAACCGUGUACGUACAAGCAGUGGGAGCACCCUUUGGGGUGUGACUGCGUACCUUUUGUAUAAUGGGUCAGCGACUUAUAUUCUGUAGCAAGGUUAACCGUAUAGGGGAGCCGCAGGGAAACCGAGUCUUAACCGGGCGUUAAGUUGCAGGGUAUAGACCCGAAACCCGGUGAUCUAGCCAUGGGCAGGUUGAAGGUUGGGUAACACUAACUGGAGGACCGAACCGACUAAUGUUGAAAAAUUAGCGGAUGACCUGUGGCUGGGGGUGAAAGGCCAAUCAAACCGGGAGAUAGCUGGUUCUCCCCGAAAGCUAUUUAGGUAGCGCCUCGUGAAUUCAUCUCCGGGGGUAGAGCACUGUUUCGGCUAGGGGGCCAUCCCGGCUUACCAACCCGAUGCAAACUGCGAAUACCGGAGAAUGUUAUCACGGGAGACACACGGCGGGUGCUAACGUCCGUCGUGAAGAGGGAAACAACCCAGACCGCCAGCUAAGGUCCCAAAGUCAUGGUUAAGUGGGAAACGAUGUGGGAAGGCCCAGACAGCCAGGAUGUUGGCUUAGAAGCAGCCAUCAUUUAAAGAAAGCGUAAUAGCUCACUGGUCGAGUCGGCCUGCGCGGAAGAUGUAACGGGGCUAAACCAUGCACCGAAGCUGCGGCA
rnacentral:rRNA from 1 species